rnacentral:lncRNA from 1 species
CAUGGCAAACGCAACAACUUCAAACUAUAGGUACAGAAAAAAAAUUAUAUCAUUUGUACGGUAUCAUUUUUUUUGGGAAGAACUGUAUAGGCUUGAAUUAUAUAUUGAAGGAAUUUGCAGAAAAAUUUGGCUUCUUCCUAAUUGAUUUGGACGAUGAUUUAGCCUGGAGAAAGGAUGAGUUAUUGAAGAAGUUUUUUGAAAUAAUUCAGGGG